UACGAAGGGGGCUAGCGUUGCUCGGAAUCACUGGGCGUAAAGCGCACGUAGGCGGGUCGUUAAGUCGGGGGUGAAAUCCUGGAGCUCAACUCCAGAACUGCCUUCGAUACUGGCGAUCUUGAGUCUGGGAGAGGUGAGUGGAACUCCGAGUGUAGAGGUGAAAUUCGUAAAUAUUCGGAAGAACACCAGUGGCGAAGGCGGCUCACUGGCCCGGUACUGACGCUGAGGUGCGAAAGCGUGGGGAGCAAACAGG
rnacentral:rRNA from 1 species